rnacentral:lncRNA from 1 species
GUCUGUUUGAAGCCAGGUAGAGCCAUCACAGCAGUUUAGUUUGAUGCCAGUAGAGCAUCACAACGAAGGGGUUGGGGGGGCACACACCAGACCAUGAAGGGCCCCGCUUGUCUUUUAGAACAUGUAGCCCGGGUCACAGCAAUAGGGAGCCAAAGAGGAGUUAAGAGUAAGCGACAUGAUUGGAUUCGCACUUUAGGAAGAUUACUAUGGCAACUGUGGGGAGAAAGGAUGGGGGGGAGCUGGUCUGAACAAAGUGGCUCAGAUCCCGCCCGCUGGUGGCUGAAACCAGGGUAGCAGGAAAGGGAGAUGGAAUCAGAGAGAAGUGAACAGUUGCCAAGGCCAAGUGAUGGACUGAGUGCAGGGGAUAUCUGGGUUGGGUAAGCAAAGAGUGCUGAGAGCGUUCCCAGGUUUCUGGUUUGGGCAACAGGAAAAAGGUGAUCUUUUUCCCAGCCAGGGGACUGUGAGGGAGAUGCCGUCCUGGGAAGUGAGGCUGAUGAGUCAGCAGCUCUAGAGACAGGCCUGGGCUGAAGACAGAGCACCCAGGGAGCCAGCCUGGAGCAGGGCCGGGAGCCGGCUCGGCUGCCUGGAGCACAGGUGCAAGAAACCUUUGCUCAGGACCUUGACCUGGCUCACGUGAUUGAGCUGAUUGCCCCUGAGCCACCAGGCUCCAUACAGACGGGAGCCAUCUGGGGAGCCAGCUGCAGAAUAUGAAUUGUCCCUCUUACAGGUGGGAGGCUGGGACACUCAGAGAUGCAGCCCCAGCCCCACCCGCCAAUAUCCGGGCCACCUACCCAUAUCAGGCAAUGCAGAGGAUGAUCUGCUGAAAGCAACACUUAGCGUGCGCUAUGGACUACACACUGUUCCAGAUGCUUUACAUCCCAGCCACACAAUUAAAUUUUUCGGGCCAAGAUUAGCGGUACAGGAGCUGAGGCCCAGACCUCCACAGAGGAGACCUUGCAGGCAGCCGGGGUUAAUCUCAGAAGGUUUCCUGCGGAAAAAAAAAAAAAAAAAAAAAAAAAGGUUUCCUGCGGGAGGCAGCCCUCAGGUAAGUAGGUGGCUCAUUCCACUUCCAGGGCAAGUCCUCAGACCUCACACAUGGUGCACACUGGCAGAGCACAAUCAUGACAGCAGCAACAGCGCUCACAAGCCCAGUGUACGCUUCCACACUGACCAGGCUUCCCGCUUCUCCAAGUGCACUCACAUAAAUUCUCUUCUUUGAAGCUAACAGAUGAGACCUUGAUACCCACUAACACUGAAUGUUAGCCUCCGUCCUUCAUGCCUCCCCUCCUUCCUUCCACUCUCUCUUUAAACCCUAUGAAGCAAGGGGAGCCAGGGACAAAUGCUAUCCUUCCUAUCUUACAAGUAGACCGAGGCACAGAAAGGACAAGGGAGUGACUUUGGGUCACACAGCUCUGCAUGCUAAGACUAAAGCUCCAGAGUGAGGGAUAAGCAUGAGUAGAGCUGCACCAGGCAAGGCCAUAGCGUGGAGAUCUCUUGGGCCACUGCCUUGACUCCAACUUCUAAAACAGCUUCUAAAACAGACCUCCUGUCAGGUUGGAAGCUCUGCUGGCCAGAAUCCAUGCUCCCAAGACCAAGAAGCAAGCCCAGAGGGCUGGCACCCAGCUACCGGUCGAAGUGGGCAGCCGAAUGGAACAGUGAUUUGUGGAGUCAGACCUCUUGAGUUCCAUCACGGCCUCACCACUUACCAGCUAAAUUACCCUGGAAGCAGCUUGUCCUCUCUGAGUAUCUUCAUCUGUAAAACAGAGAUCAUGGCAUCUCUCCCUCCAGGUGGUGCCAAAGGGUGCAGUCAAAUGACCUAUGGACAGCUGUCAGCCGGGUGCUUUGGCCCACAUUCCAUGCUUCCCUGACCUGCUGCCUGUGGGUUAGAGGGGGCUGCGCCACCACGGUGGGCGGGCAACCAAGCAUCAGUAGAGGUGACAGUCCUGCAAGGAGGGAGAGCCUCUCCUCUGGGAGUGACACCUGAGAAGGGAGCUCAUGUAGUCUUCAGUGCUCAUAAAUUGCAAUGGGAAGUACUAAGAGAACAUCCCUCUUGUAGCUGAAGAGCCUCGGGAGGAGGGUGUUGCCGCUGAGGGCCGGGGUGAGGCAUGGAUGUGCCCUGUCAUAAACUCUUCCUUUCAGUGACCGUAGUCACAGAGUACAGGAACCCACAACUUCAGGUCCCUGGCGGGUCACUCUACUGAAGGCAAGGCAUGGCCCCCAAGCAGGAAAGCCAACUGAAGGAUAAAGGAGUGGUCCUCCCGGGUUUGAUCGACCCCAGGGAGGGAUCAAGGGGGCACUCCAACUGUUCUUCAGUGGCCAGAAGUAGGAAAUGGUGACCUCUUUCGGGCUGGAAACAGUGAUUAAACAGUGAUUAAACAGCGAGGUGAGGCCAGCUGUCCAUCGUAACUGGCUUAAACCAGACCACCCUGUGAGUAGUUCCACCAUCCUACACAACAAAUGAGAAACGGAGGCUCAAAGAGUUUAGACAAUUUGCUCAAGUUUACACAGCUAGGAAGUGUCAGAGGUGGGAAUUGGGCCCGUGUUCUUGUUCUCAGACAGCACAGCCCACCCAACCAAGACCGACCACUCGGGGACGAGGCACGCCCUGUGCCCUUGUACAACUGAUGUCAGGGGUUUUUUUCUUUCUCUCCUUCUUUCCUUAAUUUCUCUUCUGUUGUUCACACUUAUGGCAGGCUGAAAGGGGGGAGGUAGGAGGACAUACCCCCUGAGGCCAAUCAGACAGGACAGAGGUGGGGGGGUCGGAGGCUGCUCGCUGUACCCGAGCAGGGUGUUGUGGGGGCUGAGGGUGUCUGCCCUGGAGUCACAGACCCCUGAUUCACGUCUCUGAGCCACCACUUAGUGACCUUGGGCAGGUUGCUUCACCUGUCUCUGCCUCAGUCUCCUCUCCCCUGAAACGGUACUGAUGUAGAAACGAGCUCAGGGGGCUGGAUCAAGGCUCCGCUGCGCUGGAGGUGCUCGGCCCGGUGUCUGCCACGUGGUAGGCACACGUUACCAAUUAGCACCAUUAUUCAUGCUCCCUCGAGUGCUUUUCUCUGUCCACGGCUUGCAUUUUGACAAAGGAGGAAGGCCAGGAAAGUGUAGAGGUGUGAUCAAAUGGAUGUCCAUCGUACUUCAAUCGCCACAAGCACCCGAGUGGACAGAAGGAGACACGGAGCCUUGCAGUGCUGAGCAGGUGAGGCUUAUAGAAGGGGUGUCAUCGAGCAUGGACUGGAGGACAGUCUGCUGAAGGCGGGAGGAAUGCCUGAAAGCUCAGGGCAAGUGAGGAGUGUGGUACCCUGGGAAGCAGAGGGAACAGGCCAGCCAAGCCCAGGGACUGGGCUCUUAGAGCAGCAGUCACAAGCUAAGCUACAGGCUGGGAGUCACGGGGACUUUCACAGGGAAGCAGAGUGGAGAACUCAUCAUUUGCGGAGUGUCUGGGGCACCUACACUCUUCCCAGAAGCCACUUAACCCUUCCAGCAGCCCGUGAAGUGUCCCCAUUUUGCAGAUGAGGACACAAGUCCAGAAACUUGAAUUAAUUCAGCUAGUACCUGGCAGGGAUUUAAGUCCCAGCCUGGCUGACUCCAAAACACCCCAGGCCACGCUCAGGCUGGGUCACUGAGGGUCUAACUUCUAGACCAAACCAGUCCUUUUUAUAGUAGUCCAGGGCUCACUAAGGCCCCUGCCCUCCGGGCCCACCCCCUGCAGCUCUCCACCAAACCUAGCCGACUACCCUAGUGGCAGGCAGCAAUUCCACAGAGCUGGACCUCGCAGGCUCUCAGAACUUCCAUCGCGAGCCGCAGGCCUGGGGAGGAAGGUCUCAGCAAGGAGGACCCAGCGGGAGCCUCCCUGGGGCUGGAGCCCCUCUGGGGGGAGGCUCAAGGAAUCCCUGGUUGGAACUGUGAUUCUGACACAGAUUCAGAGACCAGAACUCCCAGGGCCAUGAGCUGUCCUGUGGCUCCCAAGAGCACCCUGGGCCCUCUGGGAUCCACCAUCUGAGCAGAGGACAGGCUGGGCUUCCCAUACAGUUUCUUCCAAAAGCAGAGGGCAUCCUGCUCUGGCCACCCCGGUCCCAGGGGCUGUGCCCCCAGUGUCAGGCCCGU